CCAAUAGCGUAUAUUAAAGUUGUUGCAGUUAAAAAGCUCGUAGUUGAAUUUCGGGACCAAUCUGCCGGUCGUGCCUCCGGUACGCACUGGUUUUAUUGGUUUCUCCCUUCUGACGAACCAUGAUGUCAUUAAUUUGGUGUCAUGGGGAAUCAGGACUGUUACUUUGAAAAAAUUAGAGUGUUUAUAGCAGGCUCACGCUUGAAUACAUUAGCAUGGAAUAAUGAAAUAGGACGUUUGACCCUAUUUUGUUGGUUUCUAGGAUCGACGUAAUGAUUAAUAGGGAUAGUUGGGGGCAUUAGUAUUCAAUUGUCAGAGGUGAAAUUCUUGGAUUUAUUGAAGACUAACUACUGCGAAAGCAUUUGCCAAGGAUGUUUUCAUUAAUCAAGAACGAAAGUUAGGGGAUCGAAGACGAUCAGAUACCGUCGUAGUCUUAACCAUAAACUAUGCCGACUAGGGAUCGGAUGAUGUUAAUUUUUUAAUGACUCGUUUGGCACCUUACG
rnacentral:misc_RNA from 1 species